rnacentral:rRNA from 1 species
GACGAACGCUGGCGGCGUGCUUAACACAUGCAAGUCGAACGAAGUGGCGAACGGGUGAGUAAUACGUGGGUAACCUGCCCUCCUUUUUGGGAUAAGCCUUGGAAACGGGGUCUAAUACCGACUAAAGGGGGCUGGGCUAGCGGCCUAUCAGCUUGUUGGGGGGGUGAUGGCCUACCAAGGCGGUGACGGGUGGCCGGCCUGAGAGGGUGAACGGCCACAAUGGGACGGAGAUACGGCCCAGACUGCUGCGGGGGGGAGCAGUGGGGGAUAUUGAACAAUGGGUGAAAGUCGGAUGCAGCGACGCCGUGUGGGGGAUGAAGGCUUUCGGGUUGUAAACCUCGUUCGCUAUCGAGCGGGUAGGUGGAGAAGAGGCGCCGGCUAACUACGUGCCAGCAGCCGCGGUAAUAC